rnacentral:lncRNA from 1 species
UGUGACAAGUGGGUGUCCUAGCACCUGGUGUUGGUCAUUUAAAACAUAAAACCAAGACACGUGUGCUGCUGUCUAAAAUACCUAUGAUAAAUGAAUGACAAAGUCUGGUACAUGAAGAGUAGGGAUGCGAUAAGAGGGUAAACACAUAACAGAGAACUUAGGGAGAUUUGUGAGAAGGGGAAAAGCAUGGAAAGGAUAUUAGAUGGAGUCCCACAUGUGAGUACAAUAUCCUGGGCCAUGACAGCACUCCUCAUACACACAUAAUACUCAUAGAAAGAAAAAGUAGAUUAGCUCUUUAAAAAUGUAUGACUGUCAAGCCUCAACAGGACUAAAGGCCUUCCAUCCCAUUGAUACCAGAUAAGGCAAUCCUCUGCUACAUAUGCAGUUGGAGAAUGGGUCCCUCUACAUAUACUCUUUGGUUGGUGGUUUAGUCCCUGGGAGCUGAGGGUUGGGGGAUGUUAGGUUAGUUGAUAUUAUUGAUUGUUGUUCUUCCUAUGGGGUUAGAAUCCCCUUCAGCUCCUUCCCCUAACUCUUCCUCAGUAUGAUGAUUGGAUGCAUCUGCAUCUGUAUUGGUCAGGUUCUGGCAGAGCCUUUUGGUUCUGUGGAUGCUCAAUGGCCCAGCAUGGGGGGAUGCCAGGG